rnacentral:misc_RNA from 1 species
UUGCUUCCCAUAAUUGCUUGAUUAUGGUCAAAUUCUGGUUGAUUAAGUUCUUGUUCUUGCUUGCAAAGAAAAGCGUUAUAGCUAUGAAAAUCAAAGCUAAUAAAAGAUUCUCUGAUGUGAGUAUUUCUUCUCUUCUCAAAUAAAAGAAGAAAAAGAAGCAGAGCGACAAGACUGUGAAGAAAAUAAACGAAACCAUCGUGAGAACAGGCGCGAACCGAGCCGAACCGGUCCUUCUCGGAGUCGAACCUGACCGAUGCGGCUUUCUUUUCUCUUCUCUUAUUUUCUCUUCUAAUUCUUGUUUUUGUUGUUGCUGUUGUAGCUGCUUCUGCUCCGGUUUGAUAAGGUCCUCCUCUGCUACAGAAGUUAGGCUGUGGAUGGACGAUCGGACAGUGGGGAGAGAACGGAGAAGUGACGAAUGGUUUCUCGUGAGCUUCGCUUGGCUUUUUUGGCCGUCCAUUUCUGGGUGUGGGUUCCAAGGAGAUCCAAUCUCCACCGUCUAAAAAUCCCCCUCCUUAAAUCUCCUAGUUGUCCGUCC